rnacentral:rRNA from 1 species
AUACGGAGGGAGCCAGCGUUGUCCGGAAUCACUGGGCGUAAAGGGCGUGUAGGCGGGCUGGCAAGUCAGAUGUGAAAUUCCACGGCUUAACCGUGGAGGGUCAUCUGAAACUGCCGGUCUUGAGUUCGGGAGAGGGUGGUGGAAUUCCCGGUGUAGCAGUGAAAUGCGUAGAUAUCGGGAGGAACACCGGAGGCGAAGGCGGCCACCUGGCCCGACACUGACGCUGAGGCGCGAAAGCGUGGGGAGCAAACAGGAUUAGAAACCCGAGUAGUCC